rnacentral:rRNA from 1 species
ACGCUCGACACCUACGGGGGCAGCAGUGGGGAAUAUUGCACAAUGGAGGAAACUCUGAUGCAGCGAUGCCGCGUGAGGGAAGAAGGUUUUCGGAUUGUAAACCUCUGUCUUUGGGGACGAUAAUGACGGUACCCAAGGAGGAAGCUCCGGCUAACUACGUGCCCGCAGCCGCGGUAAUCUGAGCGGGCUGGCAAGGC